rfam:Pteropus alecto contig46296, whole genome shotgun sequence.
ACAUCUAAAUCCAAUUUUUGAGAAUUAAAAUUCAAAAGUCUGGCAAGAUGCACAGAAAUCACCCUCUCAGUUUAGGAGGGCUGUCCUAACAAUAGGUCUGGCUCUUACAGAGGGCAAU